AGUGAACGCUGGCGGUAGGCCUAACACAUGCAAGUCGAACGGCAGCACAGUAAGAGCUUGCUCUUACGGGUGGCGAGUGGCGGACGGGUGAGGAAUACAUCGGAAUCUACUUUUUCGUGGGGGAUAACGUAGGGAAACUUACGCUAAUACCGCAUACGACCUACGGGUGAAAGCAGGGGGUCUUCGGACCCUGCGCGAUUGAAUGAGCCGAUGUCGGAUUAGCUAGUUGGCGGGGUAAAGGCCCACCAAGGCGACGAUCCGUAGCUGGUCUGAGAGGAUGAUCAGCCACACUGGAACUGAGACACGGUCCAGACUCCUACGGGAGGCAGCAGUGGGGAAUAUUGGACAAUGGGCGCAAGCCUGAUCCAGCCAUACCGCGUGGGUGAAGAAGGCCUUCGGGUUGUAAAGCCCUUUUGUUGGGAAAGAAAAGCAGCAGGUUAAUACCCCGCUGUUCUGACGGUACCCAAAGAAUAAGCACCGGCUAACUUCGUG
rnacentral:rRNA from 1 species